UUUGUAUUUAACUUCCUCUUGAUACUAGUGGGACUACAACCUGCUGAUCCUGAGUCUCCCUGGGAAGCAGCUUGAAGAUGACGAUUGAAAUAGUAAACACAAAAACUACUGGAAUCAUAGUGAGCCAAAUGAUCUUCGACAUACACAUUGGAUCUGUCCAUGAAAUGUGGAAAAGAGAAAAUGAAGCAGGAAAACACUGGCAGAAAAAAAGUAGAACAAUCUAUCCUGGUAGAACAAUGGUCAUAUAUAUCCCCUCUUUGGAUGGAGAACGGAAGGAAUUGGUCCACUCUCCAACACUGACCUGUACUGGCAUUCUCAACCUCCUGGUCUGUCUUCACAUACGGAAGAUGGUAAGAUUCUAGAUAUGGAAAUUUUCUUAUCAAAAAGUGAGGAAAUGCCACCAACAGAACCCUGCGAGGGGUGUUCUUUUAACCAAAGCUGCCUUGGGGGAGAAUCAGCGUGGGACUGGGUGUAGGAGGUAGGCUGUUCUUCGGACAACAGCUGCUGCAGAAAU